UCCCAGAUUGAUCUUUCGCGUCCCGAGC
rnacentral:sRNA from 1 species